UACGUAGGUGGCAAGCGUUGUCCGGAUUUACUGGGCGUAAAGAGCGCGCAGGCGGUCAAUUAAGUCGAAUGUGAAAGCCCCCGGCUCAACUGGGGAGGGUCAUUCGAUACUGAUCGACUUGAAGGCAGGAGAGAGAAGUGGAAUUCCCGGUGUAGUGGUGAAAUGCGUAGAUAUCGGGGAGGAACACCAGUGGCGAAGGCGACUUCUUGGCCUGUUCUUGACGCUGAGGCGCGAAAAGCUGGGGGGAGCAAAC
rnacentral:rRNA from 1 species